rnacentral:rRNA from 1 species
UACGUAGGUGGCAAGCGUUGUCCGGAUUUACUGGGCGUAAGAGCGCGCAGGCGGUCGUCCAAGUCGCGUGUGAAAGCCCCCGGCUCAACUGGGGAGGGUCACGCGAUACUGGUCGACUCGAAGGCAGGAGAGGGUAGUGGAAUUCCCGGUGUAGUGGUGAAAUGCGUAGAUAUCGGGAGGAACACCAGUGGCGAAGGCGACUACCUGGCCUGUUCUUGACGCUGAGGCGCGAAAAGCUAGGGGAGCAAACGGG